rnacentral:rRNA from 1 species
ACAGCAGCAGCCACGGGAAUACAGAGGGUGCGAGCGUUAAUCGGAUUUACUGGGCGUAAAGCGUGCGUAGGCGGCUUUUUAAGUCGGAUGUGAAAUCCCUGAGCUUAACUUAGGAAUUGCAUUCGAUACUGGGAAGCUAGAGUAUGGGAGAGGAUGGUAGAAUUCCAGGUGUAGCGGUGAAAUGCGUAGAGAUCUGGAGGAAUACCGAUGGCGAAGGCAGCCAUCUGGCCUAAUACUGACGCUGAGGUACGAAAGCAUGGGGAGCAAACAGGAUUAGAUACCCCCGUAGUCCCUGUCUCUUAUAA